rnacentral:rRNA from 1 species
CCCUUAGAUGUUCUGGGCCGCACGCGCGCUACACUGAUGAAUUCAACGAGUACCUAACCUAGGCCGAAGGGUCUGGGUAAUCUUUGAAAUUUCAUCGUGAUGGGGAUAGAUUAUUGCAAUUAUUAAUCUUCAACGAGGAAUUCCUAGUAAGCGCGAGUCAUCAGCUCGCAUUGAUUACGUCCCUGCCCUUUGUACACACCGCCCGUCGCACCUACCGAUUGAACGUUCCGGUGAGACCUUGGGAUUUGGUCUUUGAUACUUUAUUGUGUCGUUGACCGAAAAACUUGAGCAAACCUUAACGUUUAGAGGAAGGUGAAGUCGUAACA